GCAAGUCGAGGGGUAACAGGAGAGCUUGCUCUUGCUGACGACCGGCGCACGGGUGCGUAACGCGUAUGCAACCUACCCAUAACAGGGAGAUAGCCCGGAGAAAUUCGGAUUAAUACCCCAUAAUGCAUUGGUAUUACCUGAUACUAUUUGCUAAAGAUUUAUCGGUUAUGGAUGGGCAUGCGUCUGAUUAGUUAGUUGGUGAGGUAACGGCUCACCAAGACGACGAUCAGUAGGGGGUCUGAGAGGAUGAUC
rnacentral:rRNA from 1 species